GCGCGAGUGGCGGAAUUGGUAGACGCGCUAGAUUUAGGUUCUAGUGUCUUACGACGUGCGGGUUCAAGUCCCGCCUCGCGUACCA
rnacentral:tRNA from 1 species